GUGUUUCUAUUUUCCACCCAGCCAGGUGUGGUGCAGUAAUCUAGCAACUGCACAUCUGGUUUACAAUUCACUAGCUGGCAGCUGCAAAUAUAUGAUAUUCUUGCUGAUAUUUAUUUGGUCAUCUCUCUCUGCCUCUGUGUGUAUGUGUGUGCACGUGUGCACGUGUGCGGGUACACCACAUGCAAGCUUGGUGCCCAUGGUCGUCAGAAGGAGGCACCAGAUCCCCUGGAAUUGAUGGUAAUGGGAGUUGUGAACCACCAUGGGGGUAGUGGGAAUGUGUAUAUUUGUACAUGUCUGUGUGUGUGUACAGUAGUACCUACAGACGCAAGCAGAGGGCAUCAGUUUUCUUGGAGGUGUAGUUCUAGGAAAUUCUAAACUGUGGGACAUGGGUACUGAGAUCAGAGCUUCCCUGGAAAUACGUUAACAUAUAAGGUAUUUGCUUUAUUAUUAGUGUUUUUACAAAGCAUGAGAUGUUAUACUGCUUGCUAGGUCAUAGUCCCACCCCAAAGCAGACCAGUUUAGUUAUUAAAUUCUAUGCAAAUAUGCUUCCCUCCCGUCGAAGAGUAGCAAACGGGAAACCUCUGAGCCCUCUCUUCAGCCCGUUACUUUUACUAUUACUAUUCUUUCUAACAUAUAACAUUUAUUAUUUAUUAUUAGUGUUUUACAGAAUAUGAGAUAUUAUACUGCUUGGUCAUCAUCUCCCCCAAAGCAGACUUUAGCUAUAGAAUUGUGUAAAUAUACAGCUCCCCUGAACCACUCUGAACCUCCCAAAUAAGAAUCUUCAUGUGGCCUAUUCAGUGAAUUUUGCACAUGCCCUGUAGAGCUUUCUUAGUCCACUUCUUCAAUGUGUACAGAGCGCAGGGUGCUUGAAUGUGUAGUUGGUCCUAGACCUGCACCCUGGGUAUUAAGUGGACAGUCUCCCUGUCUUCGAGGAUGGGCAUUGGCAAUCACGUGUUGUUCCUCUAUAACUAAUGCUAACUGAAGUUAUUUUUUAUUAGCCUAGAUGGGUAGCACUCCAAAAGUAAUUUUUUUUGGUACCUACCCCCUAGAAAUGCUCAAAUAUUUUUUGUUGGGAUGACCCACACAGUAUAAUGGUCAUGUGUAGUGAGAAUUCUGGAAUUUUUGUUAAAAAAAAAAACCAGAAAUAUUAUAAGAAUGUCCUUCCAUCUUAAUCCCAGGCAUAGAGAUGUGAGGAUGCUUCAGAUUUUCUUCAGCAGCUGACUAUGAUUUACCUUGAGCUCUAGCAGAAGUGUGCUUUUGCCAGCUGCGACUUUGUAAAUUUGGGAUUCUGGAAACUUUUCAGAGGUUACAUAAACAUGAGCCCUGAGAGAAGUGGUCUGCAAUUGUUGGUCACUUAGGAAGGUCGGUCGCAGUGUGCUAGUAGCCAUGGUC
rnacentral:lncRNA from 1 species